rnacentral:lncRNA from 1 species
AUGGUGCCAGCCUGCCCCUCCUCCUCCUCCUCCUCCUCUCCUCCUCCUCGGGGGCGGCAGCGGGCAGGGGGAGCUACGCGGGCCCGGGAGAGCGUGGCAUGGCCUCGGCUCCCUCCCCUCCGCCCUGGCCCGGCCGGCGGGGGGCCGGGGGGAAACGGGAUCACCUGCAAAAAGAAGGAGGAAAAGCCAAAGAGGGAGGGAGGGAGGGAGGAGGGCGAGGCGGGGGGCACGGCGGGGACAGGCCUGGGCACGAGGCGAGAGGAAAGGACCGGACCGGACCGGACCCGGGGGGGGGGGGGGGGGGGGGGAGGGGAGAGGAGGAAAGGGGAAGUGGGAAGAGGAAAGGAAGGAGAGGGAAUGGCGGGGGAGGGAGGGGAUUUAGUCUUUGCUCGCCCCCCUCCCCUGCGGGACCCCCCCCACCCCCGUCGCCCCGGGCCGGUCCUGCCCACCCGAAGGCCCUCCUUUCCACCCCCUCGGUGUGCGGGCCAGGCCCAGCCGGGACGGUCCCCGGGGUGCGAGGAGAAGCCGCCCCCCGCCCCCUCCCCAGUCCCUCCCCAGCCCCUCACCCGCUGGGGGUUUUCCUCCGGCCCCGGGGCCGCCGCUGGCGCCCCCCGCCCCGCGCCGGGCCGACGGCCAUCCCCCUCCCCCCCCGCCCACCGCCGUCCAUCACCCGGGACCCCGCCCCCGCACCGGGGACCGCCCUCCCCCCCCACCCGGGACACGCCCACCGACCGACGGGCCGGGGGAGGGGCGACCGCCGAGGGCCCCGGACGGUGCCAGGCCAGAGGAAGGCGCGGGUGGGUAGCCCCCCAUCCGCCCACCCACCGAGAUGCUCGACGCCGGGCCUCAGCUGGAGGGGGAGGGGAAGGGAAGGGGGCCCGAGGAGGGAGAGAACCCGCCCCCUCCCCACCUUGGCAAACUUCUUUCCAAACCCUUAAAAGGAAACCCCCAGCCCAGCUGCCCUGCUCGCACGGGCACGGGGAUUCCCCUGGCACAGGGUAG